rnacentral:rRNA from 1 species
GAUUAACGCUGGCGGCGUGCAUGAGACAUGCAAGUCGAACGGACGAUCAGGGCUUGCUCUGAUCGUUAGUGGCGGACGGCUGAGUAACGCGUAGGUGACCUGCCCCGAAGUGGGGGAUAACUGCCCGAAAGGGUGGCUAAUACCGCAUGUGGAGGUUCGUUCAUUCGAACCUUCAAAGCAGCAAUGCGCUUCGGGAGGGGCCUGCGUCCGAUUAGCUCGNGGUGGGGUAACGGCUCACCAAGGCGACGAUCGGUAGGUGGUCUGAGAGGACGAUCACCCAGACUGGGACUGAGACACGGCCCAGACUCCUACGGGAGGCAGCAGUCGGGAAUUUUGCGCAAUGGACGAAAGUCUGACGCAGCAACGCCGCGUGAGGGAUGACGGCCU